GACGAGCGCUGGCGGCGUGCUUAACACAUGCAAGUCGAACGGAAAGGCCCUUCGGGGUACUCGAGUGGCGAACGGGUGAGUAACACGUGGGUGAUCUGCCCUGCACUUUGGGAUAAGCCUGGGAAACUGGGUCUAAUACCGAAUAGGACCACGCGCUUCAUGGUGUGUGGUGGAAAGCUUUUGCGGUGUGGGAUGGGCCCGCGGCCUAUCAGCUUGUUGGUGGGGUAAUGGCCUACCAAGGCGACGACGGGUAGCCGGCCUGAGAGGGUGACCGGCCACACUGGGACUGAGAUACGGCCCAGACUCCUACGGGAGGCAGCAGUGGGGAAUAUUGCACAAUGGGCGCAAGCCUGAUGCAGCGACGCCGCGUGAGGGAUGACGGCCUUCGGGUUGUAAACCUCUUUCACCAGGGACGAAGCGUAAGUGACGGUACCUGGAGAAGAAGCACCGGCCAACUACGUG
rnacentral:rRNA from 1 species